GGGAAAGAGGGGGGGGCGGCGGCACAAGGAAGUAGGGGGGAAAGGUUAUCGGGAAUUAUUGGGCGGAAAUCGCGCGUAGGCGGUGUUUGAAGUCUGAGGUGAAAGCCCACGGAUCAACCGGGGAGGGUCAUUGGAAACUGGAAAACUUGAGUGCAGAAGAGGAAAGUGGAAUUCCAUGUGUAGCGGUGAAAUGCGCAGAGAUAUGGAGGAACACCAGUGGCGAAGGCGACUUUCUGGUCUGCAACUGACGCUGAUGUGCGAAAGCGUGGGGAUCAAACAGGAUUAGAUACCCUGGUAGUC
rnacentral:rRNA from 1 species